UACGGAGGGUGCGAGCGUUGUCCGGAAUCACUGGGCGUAAAGGGCGCGUAGGCGGCGCGGGAAGUCCGUGGUGAAAGCCCGAGGCUCAACUUCGGGUCGCCAUGGAUACUCCUGGGCUUGAGCACUGUAGAGGCAGGUGGAAUUCCGGGUGUAGCGGUGGAAUGCGUAGAGAUCCGGAAGAACACCGGUGCGAAGGCGGCCUGCUGGGCAGUAGCUGACGCUGAGGCG
rnacentral:rRNA from 1 species